CCUACGGGCGGCAGCAGUGAGGAAUAUUGGUCAAUGGUCGGGAGACUGAACCAGCCAAGCCGCGUGAGGGAUGAAGGUACAGAGUAUCGUAAACCUCUUUUGUCAGGGAACAAAGGCGGGGACGUGUCCCCGGAUGAGUGUACCUGAAGAAAAAGCAUCGGCUAACUCCGUGCCAGCAGCCGCGGUAAUACUGAUGAUGCGAGCGUUAUCCGGAUUUAUUGGGAUUAAAGGGUGCGCAGGCGGUCUGUUAAGUCAGUGGUCAAAGGCCGGGGCUCAACCCCGGCCCGCCGUUGAAACUGGCAGUCUCGAGUUGGAGAGAAGUAUGCGGAAUGCGCGGUGUAGCGGUGAAAUGCAUAGAUAUCGCGCAGAACUCCGAUUGCGAAGGCAGCAUGCCGGCUCCACACUGACGCUGAGGCACGAAAGCGUGGGUAUCGAACAGGAUUAGAUACCCUAGUAGUC
rnacentral:rRNA from 1 species